UACGUAGGGACCAAGCGUUGUUCGGAUUUACUGGGCGUAAAGGGCGCGUAGGCGGCUUAACAAGUCACUUGUGAAAUCUCCGGGCUUAACUCGGAACGGCCAAGUGAAACUGUCAAGCUAGAGUGCAGAAGGGGCAAUCGGAAUUCUUGGUGUAGCGGUGAAAUGCGUAGAUAUCAAGAGGAACACCUGAGGUGAAGACGGGCUGCUGGGCUGACACUGACGCUGAGGCGCGAAAGCCAGGGGAGCAAACGGG
rnacentral:rRNA from 1 species